rnacentral:rRNA from 1 species
AUUGAACGCUAGCGGGAUGCUUUACACAUGCAAGUCGAACGGAGUGGCGGCCGGGUGAGUAAUAUAUCGGAACGUGCCCAGUAGCGGGGGAUAAAUACUCGAAAGAGUGGCUAAUACCGCAUACUAUUUGCGCGGCCGAUAUCGGAUUAUCUCGUUUGUGGGGUAAAGGCUCACCAAGGCAACGAUCCGUAGCUGGUUUGAGAGGACGACCAGCCACACUGGGACUGCGAAACGGCCCAGACUCCUACGGUAGGCAUCAAUGGGGAAGGUUGGACAAUGGGGGAAACCCUGAUCCAGCCAUCCCGCGUGUAUGAUGAAGGCCUUCGGGUUGUAAAGUACUUUUGGCAGAGAAGCGGUAUCUGCAGAAUAAGCACCGGCUAACUACGUGCCAGCCGCCGCGGUAAUAC